rnacentral:rRNA from 1 species
AAGGAUUCAAAGGUCGAACAGACCUAAACUUUGAAAUUCUGCACCCAAAAAUAACCCUUAAUCCAACAUCGAGGUCGCAACCCUUUUUGUCGAUAUGAACUCUUAAAAAAGAUUACG